GAUGAACGCUGGCGGCGUGCCUAAUACAUGCAAGUCGAGCGAACGGACGAGAAGCUUGCUUCUCUGAUGUUAGCGGCGGACGGGUGAGUAACACGUGGAUAACCUACCUAUAAGACUGGGAUAACUUCGGGAAACCGGAGCUAAUACCGGAUAAUAUUUUGAACCGCAUGGUUCAAAAGUGAAAGACGGUCUUGCUGUCACUUAUAGAUGGAUCCGCGCUGCAUUAGCUAGUUGGUAAGGUAACGGCUUACCAAGGCAACGAUGCAUAGCCGACCUGAGAGGGUGAUCGGCCACACUGGAACUGAGACACGGUCCAGACUCCUACGGGAGGCAGCAGUAGGGAAUCUUCCGCAAAGGGCGAAAGCCUGACGGAGCAACGCCGCGUGAGUGAUGAAGGUCUACGGAUCGUAAAACUCUGUUAUUAGGGAAGAACAUAUGUGUAAGUAACUGUGCACAUCUUGACGGUACCUAAUCAGAAAGCCACGGCUAACUACGUG
rnacentral:rRNA from 1 species